AUUGCCUCAGUAACGGCGAGUGAAGCGGCAACAGCUCAAAUUUGAAAUCCGGCCCCAGGCCCGAGUUGUAAUUUGCAGAGGAUGCUUCGGGCGCGGCGCCUUCCAAGUCCCCUGGAACGGGGCGCCACAGAGGGUGAGAGCCCCGUCAGGUCGGCCGCCAAGCCUAUGUGAAGCUCCUUCGACGAGUCGAGUAGUUUGGGAAUGCUGCUCUAAAUGGGAGGUAGACCCCUUCUAAAGCUAAAUACCGGCCAGAGACCGAUAGCGCACAAGUAGAGUGAUCGAAAGAUGAAAAGCACUUUGAAAAGAGGGUUAAACAGUACGUGAAAUUGUUGAAAGGGAAGCGCUUGUGACCAGACGUGCGCCGGGCGCUCAGCGGGCGUUCUCGCCCGUGCAUUCGCCCCGGCGCAGGCCAGCGUCGGUUCGGGAGGGGGGACAAAGGCACCAGGAACGUGGCUCCCUCGGGAGUGUUAUAGCCUGGCGCGCCAUGCCCCCGCCCGGACCGAGGUUCGCGCUCCGCAAGGACGCUGGCGUAAUGGUCCCCAGCGGCCCGUCUUGAAACACGGACCAAGGAGUCGAGGUUUUGCGCGAGUGUUUGGGUGUCAAACCCGCACGCGUAAUGAAAGUGAACGCAGGUGGGAGCUUCGGCGCACCACCGACCGAUCCUGAUGUUCUCGGAUGGAUUUGAGUAGGAGCGUAGGGCCUCGGACCCGAAAGAUGGUGAACUAUACUUGGAUAGGGUGAAGCCAGAGGAAACUCUGGUGGAGGCUCGCAGCGGUUCUGACGUGCAAAUCGAUCGUCAAAUCUGAGUAUGGGGGCGAAAGACUAAUCGAACCAUCUAGUAGCUGGUUACCGCCGAAGUUUCCCUCAGGAUAGCAGUGUUGAUCUCAGUUUUAUGAGGUAAAGCGAAUGAUUAGGGACUCGGGGGCGCUUUUCAGCCUUCAUCCAUUCUCAAACUUUAAAUAUGUAAGAAGCCCUUGUUGCUUAGUUGAACGUGGGCCUUCGAAUGCAGCAACACUAGUGGGCCAUUUUUGGUAAGCAGAACUGGCGAUGUGGGAUGAACCAUACGGGGGGUUAAGGUGCCGGAGUGGACGCUCAUCAGACACCACAAAAGGCGUUAGCACAUCUUGACAGCAGGACGGUGGCCAUGGAAGUCGGAAUCCGCUAAGGACUGUGUAACAACUCACCUGCCGAAUGUGCUAGCCCUGAAAAUGGAUGGCGCUCAAGCGUCCCACCCAUACCCCCCCCUCAGGGUAGAAACGAUGCCCUGAGGAGUAGGCGGCCGCAGCGCUGCGUGACGAAGGCUA
rnacentral:rRNA from 1 species